GCAUUAAUAGUGAAAUCGAGUAGGACGGGACACGUGAUAUCCUGUUUGAACAUGGGGGGACCAUCCUCCAAGGCUAAAUACUCCUGACUGACCGAUAGUGAACCAGUACCGUGAGGGAAAGGCGAAAAGAACCCCUGUGAGGGGAGUGAAAUAGAACCUGAAACCGUGUACGUACAAGCAGUAGGAGCCCACUUGUUGGGUGACUGCGUACCUUUUGUAUAAUGGGUCAGCGACUUAAUUUUAGUAGCAAGGUUAACCGUUUAGGGGAGCCGUAGGGAAACCGAGUCUUAACUGGGCGUCAUAGUUGCUAGGAUUAGACCCGAAACCGAGUGAUCUAGCCAUGGGCAGGUUGAAGGUGAGGUAACACUUACUGGAGGACCGAACCGACUAAUGUUGAAAAAUUAGCGGAUGACUUGUGGCUAGGGGUGAAAGGCCAAUCAAACUCGGAGAUAGCUGGUUCUCCCCGAAAGCUAUUUAGGUAGCGCCUCGGACGAAUACUACUGGGGGUAGAGCACUGUUAAGGCUAGGGGGUCAUCCCGACUUACCAACCCUUUGCAAACUCCGAAUACCAGUAAGUAAUAUCCGGGAGACACACGGCGGGUGCUAACGUCCGUCGUGAAGAGGGAAACAACCCAGACCGCCAGCUAAGGUCCCAAAGUUAUAGCUAAGUGGGAAACGAUGUGGGAAGGCUCAGACAGCCAGGAUGUUGGCUUAGAAGCAGCCAUCAUUUAAAGAAAGCGUAAUAGCUCACUGGUCGAGUCGGCCUGCGCGGAAGAUUUAACGGGGCUAAGCUAUACACCGAAGCUGCGGCAAUAUG
rnacentral:rRNA from 1 species